GGAUACUACAGUGUAUCACCUGAUCCAGAAGAAAGACUCCUAUCAACUCUAAACAAUGGCUUCCAAGCUCCUUCUCGUUCUCGCCUUCGCCUCCAUCGCUCUCAUCCUGGUAGCUUCAGCCUUGGAUGAAUUCGAUGUGGAAGUGGUGAAUGAUGACGGAUAUAAACGUGAUCCUGAUCUCAUCAUCGGUAUGGAAGACAUGGAGAAGAGAGGAAAAGGACGUCCACUCAUGUUCCAAUACAGCUGGCCGAGAACCGCGUUUGGCCGUGGGAAGAAGUAAAUAGCUGACACCGUCGAGGAAUAUCUCAACUGGAUAUGAGGAUGCAUACCUUUCCCAACACUCCUCACCAAACGUUAACUUUAAUUUCCUGGCGUUUUUUUUAUGUUGUUUUGUUUCGAAAGCAGAAUCGGUUAUUGGUUAAUUUCGUUUUUGCAUUAGUCACGUGAAGCACCAUUCUUAACUGGGCUUGACACAAAUUCAACAAUAAAGGUCUUCCUAAGAGAAACAAAAGUAUGUCAUGGUGGAUAAGGAUUGUGUUUGCAUGUACCUGUGGCUAUUUGAUUAGUUCAAAAAGCAUUUAAAACAUUUCCUUUUAAUUUUGCCCUGGUUUGUACCAUCUUUGUGACUGACUGAAUGCGAAGCAUAAUGCCAGGAAGAGUUUUCCAAUGAAUCUCCUAACAAGCGGGAUGUUUAUUUAUCUAUUCAUAUUUAUAUUGUUAUAUUGGGCCUUCCUCACCAUUACAAUAAUUUUCAAAUAUUAUAUUACAUGUAUCACCUUUAAUAGAAGCUACUAUCGAAUUUUCUAAUGUAU